GUCUGCGUAGACCAAUGGAGAGGUCGUCGGUCUCCUAAACCGGAGGUUGCGGGUUCGAGUCCCGUCGCAGAUA